AUUGAACGCUGGCGGCAGGCCUAACACAUGCAAGUCGAGCUGAUGAAGGGAGCUUGCUCCUGGAUUCAGCGGCGGACGGGUGAGUAAUGCCUAGGAAUCUGCCUGGUAGUGGGGGAUAACGUCCGGAAACGGGCGCUAAUACCGCAUACGUCCUGAGGGAGAAAGUGGGGGUUCUUCGGACCUCACGCUAUCAGAUGAGCCUAGGUCGGAUUAGCUAGUUGGUGGGGUAAAGGCCUACCAAGGCGACGAUCCGUAACUGGUCUGAGAGGAUGAUCAGUCACACUGGAACUGAGACACGGUCCAGACUCCUACGGGAGGCAGCAGUGGGGAAUAUUGGACAAUGGGCGAAAGCCUGAUCCAGCCAUGCCGCGUGUGUGAAGAAGGUCUUCGGAUUGUAAAGCACUUUAAGUUGGGAGGAAGGGCAGUAAGUUAAUACCUUGCUGUUUUGACGUUACCAACAGAAUAAGCACCGGCUAACUUCGUG
rnacentral:rRNA from 1 species